rnacentral:ncRNA from 2 species
UUUGUGAAUCGUGGUGAUUUGGCCGGCCGGCUUGCAGCCACGUUAAAAAACUCGCUAAAAGGCCGUGGCUCGCCCCGG